AGAACGAACGCUGGCGGCAGGCUUAACACAUGCAAGUCGAACGCUCGUAGCAAUACGGGAGUGGCAGACGGGUGAGUAACGCGUGGGAACAUACCCUCCGGUUCGGAAUAGCUCAGGGAAACUUGGAUUAAUACCGGAUACGGCUGAGAGGCGAAAGAUUUAUCGCCGGAGGAUUGGCCCGCGUUCGAUUAGCUUGUUGGUGAGGUAACGGCUCACCAAGGCGAUGAUCGAUAGCUGGUCUGAGAGGAUGAUCAGCCACAUUGGGACUGAGACACGGCCCAAACUCCUACGGGAGGCAGCAGUGGGGAAUAUUGGACAAUGGGCGCAAGCCUGAUCCAGCCAUGCCGCGUGAGUGAUGACGGCCUUAGGGUUGUAAAGCUCUUUCGCUCGGGACGAUAAUGACGGUACCGAGAUAAGAAACCCCGGCUAACUUCGUGCCAGCAGCCGC
rnacentral:rRNA from 1 species